UACGGAGGAUCCGAGCGUUAUCCGGAUUUAUUGGGUUUAAAGGGUGCGUAGGCGGGAGAUUAAGUCGGUGGUGAAAUUUUGCAGCUCAACUGUAAAAGUGCCAUUGAUACUGGUUUCCUUGAGUGUGGAUGAAGUAGGCGGAAUUUGUGGCGUAGCGGUGAAAUGCAUAGAUAUCACGAGGAACUCCGAUUGCGCAGGCAGCUUACUAAACCAUAACUGACGCUCAGGCACGAAGGCGUGGGGAUCAAACAGGAUUAGAUACCCU
rnacentral:rRNA from 1 species